GAUGAACGCUAGCGGCAGGCUUAAUACAUGCAAGUCGAGGGGCAGCAUGACUGUAGCAAUACAGUUGAUGGCGACCGGCAAACGGGUGCGGAACACGUACACAACAUACCAUAUACUGGAGUAUAGCUUUGGGAAACUGAAGGUAAUCCUCCAUAACAUUGCGAGAGGGCAUCUGAUUGCAAUUAAAGUUUCGGCGGUAUAUGAUUGGUGUGCGUUUGAUUAGCUAGUUGGUAGGGUAACGGCCUACCAAGGCGACGAUCAAUAGCUGGCGUGAGAGCGCGACCAGCCACACUGGAACUGAGACACGGUCCAGACUCCUACGGGAGGCAGCAGUGGGGAAUUUUGGACAAUGGGCGGAAGCCUGAUCCAGCCAUGCCGCGUGAGUGAAGAAGG
rnacentral:rRNA from 1 species